rnacentral:tRNA from 1 species
GCCGGUGUGGCUCAGUGGUUGAGCAUCAGCCGGUGGACUGAAGGGUCCUAGGUUCAAUUCCAGUCAAGGGCA